CUCGCAUUUUUUUAAGUCAUUAAAAAAUUCAAUCCUCCUCAAAAACUAACAAAAGAUAGGUUUGUUCUUUUACUCUGUAAAGAACUUCUUUUAAACAGGAUUUUCUUGUACUUUGGGGAAGAUAUUAGGAUAGCAAGUGAAGAAACUAAUGAUCUUUUAAAGCAGGUCGGAGAAGUAAGCCGAGCAAGUAAAAAUGUGGUCCUUUGUCGUUACAUGGUUAUAUGUUGCACUAUGGUUUAGUUUUAUGUAGGGAUUAUUGAGCAAGAAAGAGAGUAAGCUUCUCUCUUUCUGUUCUUAUGUGCUCUCUUCUUUAGGGGCAGAGUUAAUGGAGGAGAUACCUUACUCAGACCAUAAGUCUGAAUAGAAAAAAAGAAGAAGAUCCUUUUCAAUAGAGAAACGUAUGUGUUGUUUACUGCUGCCUUCAGAAGGCAAAGUCUUUUACUUUCGUUCUGUUGAAAUACAAAUUAUCUCCUAAUUGAGCUACAACUUACUUUGGUUAACUUACUAUAGAUGGAGAAUAUUGUAUGUUCUUAUAUCAAAUCCUCUCUAUUUAGACCCGCAUUUUAAUACAUGUAAAAGUUUGUCUAUUAGAGUACGACAAAAAGAAUUUGCUUCGUUAAGUCAUUCCACUAAACUAAUCUUUAUGGAUUGAGCUUUUCCAGUCUUGGUUUGAAAGCCUUGACAGCUCAGAUUACGUAGUUCGUAGCCAUUACUAUAGGAAAGAACUCGUAUUUACACGGAUUCAUCAACUGUAGAUCUAAAAAUCCCAAGAGUUGCGUAUCGAGAUGCUUAUUAAAAGAGAGUUAUCUAUCGAGGUAUUGGUUCCAGAUGACUUACCCUUAUUUUGGAUAAGAUCCUGACUUCCUUAUGACAGGCUAUCUCUUUGAGUCACAUUUUUCUCCCCUGUACUUUGUAUACAUUAUGUUGCUGCAGUAGAAUAAUCCUACGUUCUGUACUGUAUUGCUACCACAAUAAAUGGUACAACUGCAAAUAUCAUUAGUUUCAUCUCUAUGUAAGUGAACCGUUUGCUGCCAAACUUAGAUGGUUUAGGUCGGUGAUGUGUUAUACAUUGUUGAAAUUGGAGCCUUUUGGAUCUGAAAUCUUCAUAUAGUCACUGUUUAGAUUUAUCUAUGUUUGAUUGAAAAAAAAUGUAGAAGAGAUAUCUUCCUUUUCAGGGCCAUCGGCUAUUCAAUAGAUGAUACAUUGAAGAUCAAAAGCUGCAGGUUGAUGAUUUUUAUGCCCGGAAACAACAGAACAGGCUAGCUGCACGUCAGACGGAACCGGGCAAAGCCAGCCAUGAAGAUUUUGUAUCGAAGCAUCCAGUGGAUAAUCAUGAGAAGGAUUAAAAAAAGCUUCUACCUAUUGUAGGUGUCUCUUGACAACAAGAAAAAUAGAGAUUCGCAAGGCAUGGAUGCCUACUGCUUUGGCUCUCUUUUCCCCUCCCCUUUUUCCUAUUAUCUUUUGGUGGCCUUGUGAAGCUAAAAUUUAGCAACUCCACUAAGAUGCUGAAGAAAUAUUUCAGCUCACCUUACUGAUGCAAUCAUUGUCUGUUGAACACAUUUAGACUUGGUUGCUGUUGAAUUCCCUAGCAACAUCAUUGGUCUUGUCUUAAUCCGAAGUUUCAUCAAUAUUAACUGCUAUCACUAUGAAUUCAACUUUUGAAUAAAUGAUUUCAUUCGAAAUCUCUAAGCUUAUUUUGGCAGGUGCUGCUCUUGAAAAAUUAGAGGAGGAGAAAGGUAUCGUAAUCAUUUCAUGGAAGCUACAGACUCUCAAGUUCAAGCAAAUAAACAAAGAGCUCAUAGAUACACGUUGAAAUGCCUAUAAUUUGGUAAGUCCACGAAGAAUAAUGUUAUUGAAACAGAGGUACAAGAAUUCUGGGCUGAGGAGUAAGAAGCACAGACAACGCAAAAUAUGAUCCCCAAGACAAAGAACUUCAUUGCAUAGAAUAUAUAGUUGCACCUUAUCCAACAACAUUAACUUUCUUUAUAGCACACUUAUUAUAACGGAUACAGUUCAACCAUUGUCCUCUGUUACUAAGUUGGCUUCAGAAUCAAUGACAUAAGUGUACCUUAUUUUUGGUCAACAUAACUGUACUUCAUUCCUGCACUUAUUGAUAUUGUCUCUAUAUAACUUAAUGUUUAGUACCAUA